UACGUAGGGUGCAAGCGUUGUCCGGAAUUAUUGGGCGUAAAGAGCUCGUAGGCGGUCUGUCGCGUCGAAUGUGAAAACCCCGGGGCUCAACCCCGGGCCUGCAUUCGAUACGGGCAGACUAGAGUUCGGUAGGGGAGUCUGGAAUUCCUGGUGUAGCGGUGAAAUGCGCAGAUAUCAGGAGGAACACCGGUGGCGAAGGCGGGACUCUGGGCCGAUACUGACGCUGAGGAGCGAAAGCGUGGGGAGCAAACAGG
rnacentral:rRNA from 1 species